rnacentral:rRNA from 1 species
AGUGAACGCUGGCGGCGUGCUUAACACAUGCAAGUCGAACGAGAACGGGUUAUAGCUUGCUAUAAUGGUCAGCUAAGUGGCGCACGGGUGAGUAAUGUAUAGGUAAUAUGCCUCUUACUAAGGGAUAACAAAUGGAAACGUUUGCUAAUACCUUAUACUCCUUAUUAACAGAAGUUAAUAAGGGAAAGAUUUAUUGGUAAGAGAUUAGCCUGUAUUGUAUCAGUUAGCUGGUGAGGUAAUGGCUUACCAAGACUAUGACACAUAACUGGUUUGAGAGGAUGGUCAGUCACACGGGAACUGAGACACGGUACAGACUCCUACGGGAGGCAGCAGCGGGGAAUAUUGCACAAUGGACGAAAGUCUGAUGCAGCAACGCCGCGUGGAGGAUGACACAUUUCGGUGCGUAAACUCCUUUUAUAUGAGAAGAUAAUGACGGUACUUGAGGAGGAAGCCCCGGCUAACUACGUGCCAGCCGCCGCAGUAA